GUCAAAUGACAAUAGGCUUAUGGUGGAUACCUAGGCACCCAAAGUUGAUGAAGGGCGCGGAAACCGGCGAAACGCUUCGGGGAGUUGGAAACACGCUUUGAUCCGAAGAUACCCGAAUGGGGCAACCCUUUAAACUACCGACUGAAUUCAUAGGUCGGCAAGAAGUAACCCGCUGAACUGAAACAUCUUAGUAAGCGGAGGAAAAGAAAGCAAACGCGAUUCCCUUAGUAGCGGCGAGCGAAGUGGGAACAGCCUAAACCGAUGAUUUCAUCGGGGUUGUGGGAAGAUGAUCUUAACAAUUCUAAAACAAAUAAACGAAGCAGCUGAAUCCUGCACCAUAGAUGGUGAAAGUCCAGUAGUUAAAAUAGUUCAAGGAUUGGAUUUUCUUAUCCCGAGUAGCAUGGGGCACGUGGAACCCCGUGUGAAUCAGCGAGGACCACCUCGUAAGGCUAAAUACUCUUGGGUGACCGAUAGUGAAAUAGUACCGUGAGGGAAAGGUGAAAUAGAACCCCAGUAGGGGAGUGCAAUAGAACAUGAAACCAUAAGCUCACAAUCUGUGGGAGCCAGACUUAGUCUGGUGACCGCGUUCCUGUUGAAGAAUGAGCUGGCGACUUAUAGGGAGUGGCUUGGUUAAGGAGUUUAUCCGGAGCCUAAGCGAAAGCAAGUCUGAAUAGGGCGUUUGUCACUUCUUAUGGACCCGAACCCGGGUGAUCUAACCAUGACCAGGAUGAAGCUUGGGUAAAACCAAGUGGAAGACCGAACCGACCGAUGUUGAAAAAUCGGCGGAUGAGUUGUGGUUAGGGGAGAAAUUCUAAUCGAACUCGGAGCUAGCUGGUUCUCUUCGAAAUGUGUUGAGGCGCAGCGGUUGGCGACGGGCUGUCUAGGGGUAAAGCACUGUUUCGGUGCGGGCUGGGAAACUGGUACCAAAUCGUAGCAAACUCAGAAUACUAGGCAUGCUUUCCGUCAACCAGUGAGACGGUGGGGGAUAAGCUUCAUCGUCGAGAGGGAAACAGCCCAGAUCAUCAGCUAAGGCCCCUAAAUGGCAGCUAAGUGGCAAAGGAUGUGAGAAUGCAGAGACAACCAGAAGGUUUGCUUAGAAGCAGCCAUCCUUAAAAGAGUGCGUAAUAGCUCACUGGUAGAGCGUUCUUGCGCCGAAAAUGAACGGGACUAAGCUGCCUGCCGAAGCUGUGGGAUUGCUUUUUUUAUAAAGGAAUCGGUAGAAGAGCGUUCCGCUCUAGGGUGAAGUAUCAACGUAAGUUGGUGUGGACGAAGCGGAAGUGAGAAUGUCAGCUUGAGUAGCGCAAACAUUGGUGAGAAUCCAAUGCCCCGAAAACCUAAGGGUUCCUCCACAAGGCUCGUCCAUGGAGGGUGAGUCAGGACCUAAGGCGAGGCCGAAAGGCGUAGUCGAUGGCAAACAGGUUAAUAUUCCUGUACUGAUUCUUAUUUGACACCGAGGGACGAAGGAGGCUAAAUUGUCUGGGUUUUGGGAUCCAGUGGAAGCGUCCGAGGCUAUGAGAGGUAGAAUAAAAACUAACCUUGAGCGUAGGCGUGAUCCGGUUUUGUGUGUCUGUAUUUAUAUAGACCAUAAGACUCAAUUGAUGUCACACUUCCAAGAAAAGCUCGUACUGUCUAUAAAUAAGAAUUACCUGUACCCUAAACCGACACAGGUGGGUAGGUAGAGUAUACUAAGGGGCGCGAGAUAACUCUCUCUAAGGAACUCGGCAAAAUGGCCCCGUAACUUCGGGAGAAGGGGUGCCGUGCUUGCACGGUUGCAGUGACCAGGCCCAAGCGACUGUUUAUCAAAAACACAGGUCUCCGCUAAGUCGAAAGACGAUAUAUGGGGGCUGACGCCUGCCCAGUGCCGGAAGGUGAAGGAAGUUGGUUAUUACUUGUAAGAAGCUAACGACCGAAGCCCCGGUGAACGGCGGCCGUAACUCUGACGGUCCUAAGGUAGCGAAAUUCAUUGUCAAGUAAGUUUUGACCUGCACGAAAGGCGUAACGAUUUGGGCACUGUCUCGGAGAGAGACUCGGCGAAAUAGACAUAUCUGUGAAGAUGCGGAUUACCUGCACCCGGACAGAAAGACCCUAUGAAGCUUGACUGUAGUUUGAGAUUGGAUUCGGGCUUUUCUUGCGCAGCAUAGGUGGGAGGCUAUGAGAGCAACCUUCCGGGGUUGUUGGAGCCAUCAUUGAGAUACCACUCUAGGAGAGCUAGAAUUCUAAUGGCGUUCCUUGAAUCAGGACGCUUGACAGUUUCAGAUGGGCAGUUUCACUGGGGCGGUGGCCUCAUAAAAGGUAACUGAGGCGUGCAAAGGUUCUCUCAAACUGGACGGAAAUCAGUUGUAGAGCGUAAAGGCAGAAGAGAGCUUGACUGCAAGACCUACAAGUCGAGCAGGGGCGAAAGCCGGCCUUAGUGAUCCGACGGUACCGUGUGGAAGGGCCGUCGCUCAACGGAUAAAAGUUACUCUAGGGAUAACAGGCUGAUCUUCCCCGAGAGUUCGCAUUGACGGGAAGGUUUGGCACCUCGAUGUCGGUUCGUCGCAACCUAGGGCGGUAGUUCGUCCUAAGGGUUAGGCUGUUCGCCUAUUAAAGCGGUACGUGGCUGGGUUCAGAACGUCGUGAGACAGUUCGGUCCAUAUCCGGUGUAGGCGUUAGAGCAUUGAGAGGAUCUCAACAUAGUACGAGAGGACCCGAAGGGACACACCGCUGGUGUACCAGUUCUUGUACCAACAGGAAACGCUGGGUAGCUAUGUGUGGAGCGGAUAACUGCUGAAAGCAUCUAAGUAGGAAGCCCUCCUCAAGAUGAGUGCUCUCCAUUAGGUUACGACUAGACAAGUCGUUGAUAGGUAUCAGGUGUAAGGCCAGUAAUGGUUUCAGCCGAGAUAUACUAAUAAACCGAAUGAUUUUGAC
rnacentral:rRNA from 1 species